CCUACGGGUGGCAGCAGUGAGGAAUAUUGGUCAAUGGACGAGAGUCUGAACCAGCCACGUAGCGUGAAGGAUGACUGCCCUAUGGGUUGUAAACUUCUUUUAUAUGGGAAUAAAACGUUCCACGUGUGGGAUUUUGUAUGUACCCUAUGAAUAAGGAUCGGCUAACUCCGUGCCAGCCGCCGCGGUAAUACGGAGGAUCCGAGCGUUAUCCGGAUUUAUUGGGUUUAAAUGGAGCGUAGGUGGAUUGUUAAGUCAGUUGUGAAAUUUUGGGGCUCAACCGUAAAAUUGCAGUUGAAACUGGCAGUAUUGAGCACAGUAGAGGUGGGCGGAAUUCGUGGUGUAGCGGUGAAAUGCUUAGAUAUCACGCAGAACUCCGAUUGCGAAGGCAGCAUACCGGCACGCAACUGACGCUCAUGCACGAAAGCGUGGGUAUCGAACAGGAUUAGAUACCCGAGUAGUC
rnacentral:rRNA from 1 species